rnacentral:tRNA from 1 species
GGUUGUGGCUCAGUGGUAGAGCGCUUGCCUAGCAUGUGUGAGGCACUGGUUUCAAUUCACAGAACCA